rnacentral:tRNA from 1 species
GCCGACAUAGCUCAGUUGGUAGAGCACAGCUUUCGUAAAGCUGAGGUCCUGGGUUCGAGUCCCAGUGUCGGCU